rnacentral:rRNA from 1 species
GACGAACGCUGGCGGCGUGCCUAACACAUGCAAGUCGAACGGGGUGAUUUCCUUCGGGAGAUCACUUAGUGGCGAACGGGUGAGUAACGCGUGAGAAACCUGCCUUUCAGUGGGGGACAACAGUUGGAAACGACUGCUAAUACCGCAUAAUGUUAUUUAGGGGCAUCCCUGAAUAACCAAAGCUUUAUGUGCUGAAAGAUGGUCUCGCGUCUGAUUAGCUAGAUGGCGGGGUAACGGCCCACCAUGGCGACGAUCAGUAGCCGGUCUGAGAGGAUGAACGGCCACAUUGGGACUGAGAUACGGCCCAGACUCCUACGGGAGGCAGCAGUGGGGAAUAUUGGGCAAUGGGGGAAACCCUGACCCAGCAACGCCGCGUGAAGGAAGAAGGCCUUCGGGUUGGUAAACUUACUUUUAGUAGGGUACGGAAUACAAUGACGGUACCGUACCAGAAAAAGACAACGGCUAACUAACGUG